rnacentral:rRNA from 1 species
GACGAACGCUGGCGGCGUGCCUAAUACAUGCAAGUCGAACGCAGUGGGGACGGGUGAGUUACACGUGGGUAACCUCCCAUCAGACGGGAUAACUGUUGGAAACAGGUGCUAAACCGAUACUGAUGGAUGGACCCGCGGUGAAUUAGCUACGUGGGGGGGUAACGGUCCACCAAGGCCACGAUGCAUAGCCGACGUGAGAGGGUGAUCGGCCACAUUGGGACUGAGACACGGCCCAAACUCCUACGGGAGGCAGCAGUAGGGAAUCUUCGACAGUGGACGAAAGUCUGAUGGAGCAACGCCGCGUGGGUGAAGAAGGUUUUCGGAUCGUAAAGCUCUGUUGUUGGUGGAGCGGUAAUCAACCAGAAAGUCACGGCUAACUACGUGCCAGCAGCCGCGGUAAUUC